AAGGCUUAGGUUUCACAUUAGAAAAAGAUAUUUUUAAAAAAAUGAGGAAAAGUUAGAUCUUAAAUAAUAGCACACAGAAGAGAGUUUUGUACUGCCUGAUACUUUGAAAGGCUACCCUACCUCUACCGAGGUGGGACACCAUCGUACACCGCCACAAUGAACUUUCUUUCGCCCCACCAAGACAAAAGCAUUGCAGGCAACAAAGUGGAUAUUAGUCAGAAAAAGAAAAAAAAUUGAAAUUGAAAAAAAAAAGAAAAAAAGGUGAGUAAAGAAGGAACAAAUAAGGCUUAGGUUUCACAUUAGAAAAAGAUAUUUUUAAAAAAAUGAGGAAAAGUUAGAUCUUAAAUAAUAGCACACAGAAGAGAGUUUUGUACUGCCUGAUACUUUGAAAGGCUACCCUACCUCUACCGAGGUGGGACACCAUCGUACACCGCCACAAUGAACUUU